rfam:Naematelia encephala strain 68-887.2 BCR39scaffold_63, whole genome shotgun sequence.
UGUCCCUUGGCCCAGUAGGUAAGGCGUCCGACUGUUAGUCACACAACUCAAUCGGAAGAUCGAGAGUUCAAGCCUCUCAGGGACAG